rnacentral:rRNA from 1 species
UACGAAGGGUGCAAACGUUGCUCGGAAUUAUUGGGCGUAAAGGGUAGGUAGGUGGUUUCGUUUGUCUGGGGUGAAAGCCUUGAGCUUAACUCAAGAAGUGCCCCGGAAACGGCGAAACUCGAGUACUGGAGAGGGUCGUGGAAUUCCCGGUGUAGCGGUGAAAUGCGUAGAGAUCGGGAGGAACACCAGAGGCGAAGGCGGCGACCUGGACAGUUACUGACACUCAACUACGAAAGCUAGGGGAGCAAACAGG